UACGGAGGGGGCUAGCGUUGUUCGGAACUUACUGGGCGUAAAGCGCACGUAGGCGGCUUUGUAAGUUAGAGGUGAAAGCCCAGGGCUUAACCCUGGAAUUGCCUUUAAGACUGCAUCGCUAGAAUCGUGGAGAGGUGAGUGGAAUUCCGAGUGUAGAGGUGGAAUUCGUAGAUAUUCGGAAGAACACCAGUGGCGAAGGCGACUCACUGGACACGUAUUGACGCUGAGGUGCGAAAGCGUGGGGAGCAAACAGGG
rnacentral:rRNA from 1 species